rnacentral:rRNA from 1 species
ACAAGCCAAAUUAAGGUGAAACCGCAAAAGGCUCAUUAAAUCAGUUAUGGUUCCUUAGAUCGUACCCACAAUUACUUGGAUAACUGUGGUAAUUCUAGAGCUAAUACAUGCAAACAGAGCUCCGACCGGAGACGGAAGGAGUGCUUUUAUUAGAUCAAAACCGAUCGGUGGCGGGCCCCGCGCUCGUCAUCGUACAAUUUGGUGACUCUGAAUAACUUUAGGCUGAUCGCACGGUCAUCGCACCGGCGACGCAUCUUUCAAAUGUCUGCCUUAUCAACUGUCGAUGGUAGGUUCUGCGCCUACCAUGGUUGUAACGGGUAACGGGGAAUCAGGGUUCGAUUCCGGAGAGGGAGCCUGAGAAACGGCUACCACAUCCAAGGAAGGCAGCAGGCGCGCAAAUUACCCACUCCCGGCACGGGGAGGUAGUGACGAAAAAUAACGAUACGGGACUCAUCCGAGGCCCCGUAAUCGGAAUGAGUACACUCUAAACCCUUUAACGAGGAUCAAUUGGAGGGCAAGUCUGGUGCC